CCUACGGGAGGCAGCAGUGGGGAAUAUUGGACAAUGGGCGAAAGCCUGAUCCAGCAAUGCCGCGUGAGUGAUGAAGGCCUUAGGGUUGUAAAGCUCUUUUACCAGGGAUGAUAAUGACAGUACCUGGAGAAUAAGCUCCGGCUAACUCCGUGCCAGCAGCCGCGGUAAUACGGAGGGAGCUAGCGUUGUUCGGAAUUACUGGGCGUAAAGCGUACGUAGGCGGUUAUUCAAGUCAGAGGUGAAAGCCCGGGGCUCAACCCCGGAACUGCCUUUGAAACUAGAUAGCUAGAAUCUUGGAGAGGUUAGUGGAAUUCCGAGUGUAGAGGUGAAAUUCGUAGAUAUUCGGAAGAACACCAGUGGCGAAGGCGACUAACUGGACAAGUAUUGACGCUGAGGUACGAAAGCGUGGGGAGCAAACAGGAUUAGAUACCCUGGUAGUCCACGCCGUAAACGAUGAUAACUAGUUGUUCGGGCACUUGGUGCCUGAGUGACGCAGCUAACGCAUUAAGUUAUCCGCCUGGGGAGUACGGUCGCAAGAUUAAAACUCAAAUGAAUUGACGGCUGAGAGNGCGAGCGACGACGAGGAGAG
rnacentral:rRNA from 1 species